CUCCCCCACCCCACCCCACCCCACCCCACCCCUGAGGCCGGAGCCGAGCUCGUUAGGAGCCUGGCAUUCCUGCAGGACUGGGCGCCCGCUCUGCACAGCGCGCCAGGACAGGGAGACGACCCCCCAACGCGAGCUCGUAACACCCGCAGUAUUUUUACAUCCGCUGUCUGCACCGCAGAAAAACAAGCUUCACUUCUGUCCCUCUCAACGUCUCGGGGCCUUCUCCGCGUCACUGAUUCCAUUGACUUGGGGUUAGUUGCUGUUGCCACGUGUUAUUUACUGGAUUCUUAAAACGCCUCUCCAUCGAAUUGCUGAAGUUCAACCGAGAGGUGGCCCUGUGCUCUCAACUACCUAGCGAUAAACGUUCCCCAUCAGUCUGAGGAGCUCUGGCUGCUAACCAUUGUCUUUUCAAGCCCCACCACCACCACCAGGAGGGUGACCCCAGUCAGCCAUCUUGCGGCCAAGAUAACUCGAACAACACAUUCAAGUAUGAUGUAGCUAAAAGACAUAAAACAAGGUAUUGGGCAUGGACUGCCUGGCUGUCAAGGAAAUCCUGUCAUUCUGGAAGGUCCAAGUUUGACCUAAGAUCAGAGACACCAAGAUCUCCAUGCUGGAAGUUACUAGAUUUUUUUUAUCCCAGGUGCUUUUUCUGUUCACUUUUCCGUGUGUGUACGUGGGGGUGGGGGUGCACAUGCUUCAUGUUGGGAAGCCAGAGCAGUGUCGUCCUCUCUCUCUUUUAGCCUUAGUCCCUUGAGACAGGGUCCCUUCCUGAACUUGAACCUUGAGGGUUCUGCAACCAGGCUCUCUGGAUCCACCCAUCAGCUCCGGGGUUACAGGCACCCACAACCAUACCUGGCUUUUACAUGGGUGAGUCCUCAUGUGUACACAGCAAGUGUUUUCAGCCACUGAACCAUCCCCAAGAGUCUUUAACUUCGUCCUUUCUUCUCACCGAAGGUUAAUCCAUUCACGUUUUUAUCACAUUAUUGCUGCCCAAAGCUGUAGAGUGGACCAUUUUAUAAUAAGUCGAAAAAUCUAGGAAUAAAAUUAACAGGAAGUGUGCCCAAGGUUUACUAUGAAGGCCCUAUUGAGGAUCACGAAGGGAGACGGGAGGAGAGAGGCAACUUUUCCCGGUGAGGUUCCGACAGUGAAGAAUAUGUGACAUUUGCUCUCCCCGAGUCCUCCUUAAAUUCAAAGCAAAUUCCAUAAAAUAAGUUAUUUUUCCGUUUUGUAUUUCAACCGACAACCAGUGUUACAGCUCCUGUAAACUAGCAAGGGGGCUUUAGGGCAGCGUGGACUUUUUUUUCCCUUCAGAGCUGAGGACCGAACCCAGGGCCUGGGCUCUACCACUGAGCUAAGUCCCCAACC